rnacentral:rRNA from 1 species
GAUGAACGCUGGCGGCGUGCUUAACACAUGCAAGUCGAACGAUGAGGCCCAGCUUUCUGGGUGGAUUCGUGGCGAACGGGUGAGUAACACGUGAGUAAACUACCCUUAUAUCUGGGAUAAGCAUGGUAGACUGGGUCUAAUACAGGAUAGAAACGUCCACCGCCUGGAUGGUGUUGGAGAGAUUUAUCGGUUUUGGAUGGACUCGCGGCCUAUCAGCUUGUUGGUGAGGUAUUGGCUCACCAAGGGGACGACGGGUAGCCGGCCUGAGAGGGUGACCGGCCACACUGGGACUGCGGCACGGCCCAGUAGCGUACCGUCGGCAGCAGUGGGGAAUAUUGCGCAAUGGGCGCAAGCCUGUUGCAGCGACGUCGCGUGAGGGAUGACGGCUUUCUGGUGGUAAACCUCUUUCAGUAUGGAAGAAGCGAAAGUGACGGUACCUGCAGAAGAAGCCCCGGCUAACUACGUG